rnacentral:misc_RNA from 1 species
GGCUAUAACAGUGUUUACAUUUCAAAACACACACAAAAUGAUCACUUUGUUUUUUAAUAGUUACACCCAUGGUGUCCAAAAUUUUUCAAAUUUGCUAUUUUAUUGUGAAUUUUACUUCUACUUAAGUGCAUUUGAGUGACAGACCUACUUUUUGCCCUAAGUGCCAAACAAUCUUGACAGUUUAACAAUUUUGUCAUCCAUCCAAACUAUUUUGUAUCAUCCACAUGCAUAGAGCACAUAAAUAUGACUACAUAAUUCAGAGUGCAGCUUAUCAUGUAGUAUUGUAGAUGCUUAACUUUAAAUUAAAUAAAAUAAAUGAAUAUGAAAGCCAAACAAUUAGACAAAAUAAUAAUAAUAA